CGCAGAGUAGAUCAGUGGCAGAUCGGGUCCCUCAUAAGGAUUAGGUCGGAGGUUCGAUCCCUCCCUCUGCGACCA
rnacentral:tRNA from 1 species